UACAGAGGGCUCGAGCGUUAAUCGGAAUCACUGGGCUUAAAGGGUGCGCAGGCGGACUUGCAAGUGUCUUGUGAAAGCCCACCGCUCAACGGUGGAAUAGCUUGGCAUACUGCAAGUCUUGAGCCCGUCAGGGGUCGUCGGAACGCUAGGUGGAGCGGUGAAAUGCGUAGAUAUCUAGCGGAACGCCAAAGGUGAAGACAGACGACUGGGACGGAGCUGACGCUCAGGCACGAAAGCGUGGGUAGCGAACGGG
rnacentral:misc_RNA from 1 species